rnacentral:lncRNA from 1 species
CCAAGUUCCCCCAUCGGAAAAAGGCCACAAAAACGGGUGGGCUAUAGCCUUGGGGGGUGGGGCUGGCCUACUUCGUCCGCCGGACUCGGAAUGCUGCAAGACUUUGCGAGGGGCCUCCGUGUGCCAAAAAAAGGCUGCAGGCAAAGCCGCGCCCAAAAAUAACCGCCCGAAGGCCGGGGCGCAAAGUUCGUCCAGCGGAAAAAGGCCACAAAAACGGGUGGGCUAUAGCCUUGGGGGGUGGGGCUGGCCUACUUCGUCCGCCGGACUCGGAAUGCCGCAAGACUUUGCGAGGGGCCUCCGUGUGCCAAAAAAAGGCUGCGGCCAAAGCCGCGCCCAAAAAUAACCACCCAAAGGCCGGGGCGCCAAGUUCGUCCAGCGGAAAAAGGCCACAAAAACGGGUGGGCUAUAGCCUUGGGGGGUGGGGCUGGCCAACUUCGUCCGCCGGACGUGGAAUGGUACGAGACCUUGCGAGGCACCUCCGUGUGCCAAAAAUAGGCCGCGGGCACAGCGGCGCCCAAAAAUAACCGCCCGAAGGCCGGGGCGCCAAGUUCGUCCAGCGGACAAAGGCCACAAAAACGGGUGGGCUAUAGCCUUGGGGGGUGGGGCUGGCCUACUUCGUCCGCCGGACUCGGAAUGCCGCAAGACUUUGCGAGGGGCCUCCGUGUGCCAAAAAAAGGCUGCGGGCAAAGCCGCGACCAAAAAUAACCACCCGAAGGCCGUGGCGCCAAGUUCGUCCAGCGGAAAAAGGCCACAAAAACGGGUGGGCUAUAGCCUUGGGGGGUGGGGCUGGCCAACUUCGUCCGCCGGACGUGGAAUGGUGCGAGACCUUCCGAGGCACCUCCGUGUGCCAAAAAUAGGCCGCGGGCACAGCGGCGCCCAAAAAUAACCGCCCGAAGGCCGGGGCGCCAAGUUCGUCCAGCAGACAAAGGCCACAAAAACGGGUGGGCUAUAGCCUUGGGGGUUGGGGCGGGCCAACAUCGUCCGCCGGACUCGGAAUGGCACGAGACGUUGCGAGGCGCCUCCGUGUGCCAAAAAUAGGCUGCGUCCACAGCCGCGCCCAAAAAUAACCGCUCGAAAACCGGGGCGUCAAGUUCGUCCAGCAGAAAAAGGCCACAAAAACGGGUGGGCUAUAGCCUUGGGGGGUGGGGCUGGCCAACUUCGUCCGCCGGACGUGGAAUGGUACGAGACCUUGCGAGGCACCUCCGUGUGCCAAAAAUAGGCCGCGGGCACAGCGGCGCCCAAAAAUAACCGCCCGAAGGCCGGGGCGCCAAGUUCGUCCAGCGGACAAAGGCCACAAAAACGGGUGGGCUAUAGCCUUGGGGGGUGGGGCUGGCCUACUUCGUCCGCCGGACUCGGAAUGCCGCAAGACUUUGCGAGGGGCCUCCGUGUGCCAAAAAAAGGCUGCGGGCAAAGCCGCNN